rnacentral:rRNA from 1 species
UACGUAGGGUGCAAGCGUUAAUCGGAAUUACUGGGCGUAAAGCGUGCGCAGGCGGCUUUGCAAGACAGAUGUGAAAUCCCCGGGCUUAACCUGGGAACUGCAUUUGUGACUGCAUGGCUGGAGUGCGGCAGAGGGGGAUGGAAUUCCGCGUGUAGCAGUGAAAUGCGUAGAUAUGCGGAGGAACACCGAUGGCGAAGGCAAUCACCUGGGCCUGCACUGACGCUCAUGCACGAAAGCGUGGGGAGCAAACAGG